UUAUUACUAAAAAAUUACGAGGCAUUUUAACAUUCGCCACUGUACCCAAACAACUGAUCAAUCGCAACUGACAAUACCCUAACAUAGUGACAAUAAACCAAAUGAAAAUUACAAUUAUAAACAUAAAAAAUCAAAUUAACUCAAUAGUCGAUUUGGUUAAAUUAUGAGACGCACAAGCUGAAUAGACAAAUUAGAAAAUUAUAUACCAUUAUCAAUGUAUAUCAAAACACAAAAAAGUUCAAAGUAAUCGAGGUUUUCGCAAAAGAACAGCAUUUAUUUCGACUUAUCAACGUUCCACUGUAUAUAUAUACAUUAAAUAUAAUAGUUAAGACUGAGAUAGCUAAUAAGAAUUUUUAGUAUUAACCAAAUCAGUUAUUAAUUUUUCAGUGCAAUAAUGUAAAUUUAUUUUUUCAAAUAUGAAUGUAAAAUGUAUAAAAUAAAAAAAAAUGUUUU